GAAAACUACUUGAGUGUUUCUACUGCCCCCCGAGAUCUGCUUAUGAGUGCAUGGGGAUUGCGGUGGACCUUCUCUCCGGUUUAAACAGACUUUGGAGGCUGGCGCAUGAAUCUUCAUUCACAAAAGGUAUCAACAGUAUGACUGUGGAAGUUCCAUUAUUCUUGGGAGUUAUGCCCAGCAACACAAACCAAUCAUAUCCAGCACGUACAUUGGAUCUGCUAACUUUACUUUAGGAUACCUAGGAUUUCAAAAGUUCACCAUGUUCAGGAAAGAAGACGUUUUACUUGGUAAAUGAAGGAGAGAAAAAUUGCAAGGGAGGAGGUGUAUAGUUUACAUGGUGCAUUUUUUAAGUACUAUGACUAGGGUGAAGAAGGGGAUUUCACUUGGAUAACUGCACUGAGGCUUGGUUAACUGAGGAACAGAAACAGCACAUCUCUGUGGUAUGGAUUAUUUAUGAAGAGUUAUCACAGGUUUGCAUAAACAGAUGAUUAACAGAUGAUUAAUAGCUGACCAUACCAAGUUUGAACCUGACCACCCCAUUUU